GGUCGAAUGGUGUAGUCGGUUAUCACGUGAGCUUAACAUCUGAGGGAUCCGUCCCUAGGAUUACACGCUCAAGGUCCUCAGUUCGAUCCUGGGUUCGAUCA